GUGGGGUAUCUUCCGCAAUGGACGAAAGUCUGACGGAGCAACGCCGCGUGAGUGAAGAAGGUUUUCGGAUCGUAAAGCUCUUUCGUUAGGGACGAACGUGCUCUUUGUGAAUAAUGAGGAGUAAUGACGGUACCUAAAUAAGAAGCCACGGCUAACUACGUGCCAGCAGCCGCGGUAAUACGUAGGUGGCAAGCGUUGUCCGGAAUUAUUGGGCGUAAAGCGCGAGCAGGCGGGAUAUCUAGUCUGUCUUAAAAGUGCGAGGCUCAACCUCGUGAGGGGGAGGAAACUGGUAUGCUUGCAUGUCGGAGAGGAAAGUGGAAUUCCAAGUGUAGCGGUGAAAUGCGUAGAGAUUUGGAAGAACACCAGUGGCGAAGGCGACUUUCUGGACGAUGUCUGACGCUGAGGCGCGAAAGCUAGGGGAGCGAACGGGAUUAGAUACCCUGGUAGUCC
rnacentral:rRNA from 1 species